AGUUUGUCACAGGGCACUGAACACAGUUCCCUGAGCCACACUGCAGGACCGUGUUGCCUGUCCAUCAUGCGUGUAAUGGUUUGCUCUGCUAAUUCCACUUUCCAGUCCUUCCUCCCCCACCCCCUGAAGUCCUCUGGUUUGGACUCGAUGCCGGGGACCCCUCUUCCUCUGGAGGGGUGCCCGCAGUCCAGCUGACUAAGCCUGGGCCUCACACGGUGAGUUGACUUCUCUGGUAAAACAGGAGCCACAUAAGGCACAGGCACUGACGGCAUGGUGCAGGGAGCAGUGCUGGGUCAGGGGCCAGGGGCCCGGGACCACCACCCGAGGCAGGCGCCCUGGGGAGCACAGCUGUGCCCCGGGGAGGCUUGCCUGAGGCUGAGAGUCACGAGCUCUGGGUUCACCAGUUUGCUGCCUUUAGAGAAGUCUCCAGACCGUGCAUUUAGGUUUCACAGCUUUCCCUUUUCCAUGUUAAUAACCAGAUGAAAAUUUUCCUGAAAGAUUAUAGGAGAUGGCAUGUCUGAAGCAAGUGCAAGUAGUAAAAGCCGUGCAGGAGUUAAGUUAUAACUAGGGCUCGGAGAGACCAGGUGAGGGGGUGACGGCAGGUGUGGUGGGUGAGGGUCUCUGUGGUCUCCUGGGGUCAGGUGAAGGGAGGUGCCCACAGGUUUGGUGGGUGAGGGUCUCCAUGGUCUCCUGGGGUCAGGUGAAGGGAGGUGCCCACAGGUGUGGUGGGUGAGGGUCUCCAUGGUUCCUGGGGUCAGGUGAAGGGAGGUGCCUGCAGGUGUGGUGGGUGAGGGUCUCCAUGGUCUCCUGGGGUCAGGUGAAGGGAGGUGCCCACAGGUGUGGUGGGUGAGGGUCUCCGCAGUUCCUGGGGUCAGGUGAAGGGAGGUGCCCGCAGGUUUGGUGGGUAAGGGUCUCCAUGGUCUCCUGGGUCAGGUGAAGGGAGGUGCCCACAGGUUUGGGUGGGUGAGGGUCUCCAUGGUCUUCUGGGAUCAGGUGAAGGGAGGUGCCCGCAGGUUUGGUGGGUGAGGGUCUCCAUGGUCUUCUGGGAUCAGGUAGGUCCCUAGCCCUCCCCUCAGCUUCAGCGCCCGAGCAGGACACCCUGGAGCCUGAAGGUCCCAUGUCGGAUGCUCAAAUGGC
ensembl:lncRNA